GAUGAACGCUGGCGGCGUGCCUAAUACAUGCAAGUCGAGCGAACAGACGAGGAGCUUGCUCCUCUGACGUUAGCGGCGGACGGGUGAGUAACACGUGGAUAACCUACCUAUAAGACUGGGAUAACUUCGGGAAACCGGAGCUAAUACCGGAUAAUAUAUUGAACCGCAUGGUUCAAUAGUGAAAGACGGUUUUGCUGUCACUUAUAGAUGGAUCCGCGCCGCAUUAGCUAGUUGGUAAGGUAACGGCUUACCAAGGCGACGAUGCGUAGCCGACCUGAGAGGGUGAUCGGCCUCACUGGAACUGAGACACGGUCCAGACUCCUACGGGAGGCAGCAGUAGGGAAUCUUCCGCAAUGGGCGAAAGCCUGACGGAGCAACGCCGCGUGAGUGAUGAAGGUCUUCGGAUCGUAAAACUCUGUUAUUAGGGAAGAACAAAUGUGUAAGUAACUAUGCACGUCUUGGCGGUACCUAAUCAGAAAGCCACGGCUAACUACGUG
rnacentral:rRNA from 1 species